rnacentral:rRNA from 1 species
UACGUAGGGUGCGAGCGUUGCCCGGAUUUAUUGGGCGUAAAGGGCGCGUAGGCGGCCACGCACGUCCGUUGUGAAAUCGCCCGGCUCAACUGGGCGGGGUCAGCGGAUACGGUGUGGCUCGAGCAAGCUAGGGGGCAAUGGAAUUCCUGGUGUAGCGGUGAAAUGCGUAGAUAUCAGGAGGAACACCUGUGGUGUAGACAGCUCACUGGACCACUUCUGACGCUGAGACACGAAAGCGUGGGUAGCAAACAGG